rnacentral:rRNA from 1 species
AUGGCGGUCUACUAUGGCAGCGCCCUCUCGGCCGUCCUGCUGCUCUCCUUGUUGAUUUUCGCCCUCUGCGACGACGCGACACCGUCCACGCCGGUGUCACCGUCCACCGCGUGCAACGACACGACGGACCCCACGUUCUGCCGGACCGUGCUGCCGCCGCACGGCACGAGCGACCUCUACACCUACGGCCGCUUCUCCGUCGCCAAGUCCCUCGCCAGCGCCAACAAGUUUGUCGGCCUCGUCGACCACUACCUGUCCCGCCACCGCCACCUCUCACGCAGCGCGAUCGGCGCGCUGCAGGACUGCAAGCUCCUCUCCGAGCUCAACGUCGACUUCCUCUCCGCCACCGGCACUGCGCUCAAGGGCACGGAGACGCUCCUCGACCCGCAGGCCGACGACGUACAGACGUUGCUCUCGGCGAUCCUGACCAACCAGGAGACAUGUCUCGACGGCCUUCAGGCCGCGUCGGGAUCGUGGUCGGACCGUGGCGGCGGCCUCGCCGAGCCGAUCUCCAACGGCACCAAGCUCUACAGUCUCUCGCUGUCACUCUUCACCAGGGCAUGGGUGACCACGGCGAAGGCGCCCAAGGGCGCCAAGAAACCGCACCACGGCCACAAGAAGCCGCCGACGGCCCCGACGAACGUGAGGAGGGGGCUGUUCGACGCGAAAGACGAGGAGAUGGUCCGGAGAAUGGCGAUCGAGGGGCCCCAAGGGACGGUGGCGGUGAACAGGGCCGUGACGGUGCACCAGGGUGGCUCCGGGAACUACACGACGGUCGGGGAUGCCGUGGCGGCCGCGCCCACCAACCUCAACGGCAGCGCCGGGUACUACGUGAUAUACGUGCUCGCGGGCGUGUACGAGGAGAACGUGGAGGUGCCCAAGAAGAUGAAGUACGUCAUGAUGAUCGGCGAUGGGAUCGGACAGACGGUGAUCACCGGCAACCGGAGCGUUGUCGAUGGCUGGACCACCUUCCACUCGGCCACCGUUGCUGUGCAUGGGCAAGGAUUCGUGGCGAUGAACAUGACGAUCCGGAACACGGCCGGCCCAGCGAAGCACCAGGCGGUGGCGCUCCGGUCGAGCGCCGACCUGUCGACCUUCUACAGCUGCAGCUUCGAGGCGUACCAGGACACGCUCUACACGCACUCCCUCCGCCAGUUCUACCGCGGCUGCGAGGUGCACGGCACCGUGGACUACGUGUUCGGCAACGCCGCCGUCGUCUUCCAGGACUGCACCUUCUACUCCCGCCUCCCCAUGCAGGGCCAGAGCAACACCGUCACGGCGCAGGGCCGCACCAAUCCGGAGCAGAACACCGGCACCUCCAUCCAGGGCUGCACCCUCCUCCCGUCCCCGGAGCUCGCGGCCAACGCCGCCUUUGACACGCGCACCUUCCUCGGCCGGCCGUGGAAGAAUUACUCGCGCACGGUGGUCAUGGAGUCGUACAUCGGCGGCCUCGUCGACGCCACCGGGUGGAUGCCAUGGUCCGGGGACUUCGCGCUCGACACGCUCUACUAUGCCGAGUACAACAACUCCGGGCCGGGCGCCGACACCGGCCGUCGGGUCAGCUGGCCGGGCUACCACGUGCUAGGCGACGGCGCCGAUGCCGGCAACUUUACCGUCGACAGUAUGGUGCUCGGGGGCAACUGGCUGCCGCAGACCGGCGUGCCCUUCACCAGCGGAUUGAAAUAUUGA